UGCAGUCGAACGAAACUUCUUUAUCACCGAGUGCUUGCACUCACCGAUAAAGAGUUGAGUGGCGAACGGGUGAGUAACACGUGGGCAACCUGCCCAAAAGAGGGGGAUAACACUUGGAAACAGGUGCUAAUACCGCAUAACCAUAGUUACCGCAUGGUAACUAUGUAAAAGGUGGCUAUGCUACCGCUUUUGGAUGGGCCCGCGGCGCAUUAGCUAGUUGGUGGGGUAAAGGCUUACCAAGGCAAUGAUGCGUAGCCGAACUGAGAGGUUGAUCGGCCACAUUGGGACUGAGACACGGCCCAAACUCCUACGGGAGGCAGCAGUAGGGAAUCUUCCACAAUGGGCGAAAGCCUGAUGGAGCAACGCCGCGUGGGUGAAGAAGGUCUUCGGAUCGUAAAACCCUGUUGUUAGAGAAGAAAGUGCGUGAGAGUAACUGUUCACGUUUCGACGGUAUCUAACCAGAAAGCCACGGCUAACUACGUGCCAGCAGCCGCGGUAAUACGUAGGUGGCAAGCGUUAUCCGGAUUUAUUGGGCGUAAAGGGAACGCAGGCGGUCUUUUAAGUCUGAUGUGAAAGCCUUCGGCUUAACCGGAGUAGUGCAUUGGAAACUGGGAGACUUGAGUGCAGAAGAGGAGAGUGGAACUCCAUGUGUAGCGGUGAAAUGCGUAGAUAUAUGGAAGAACACCAGUG
rnacentral:rRNA from 2 species